AGAGUUUGAUCCUGGCUCAGGAUGAACGCUAGCUACAGGCUUAACACAUGCAAGUCGAGGGGCAGCGGGAUUGUAGCAAUACAAUUGCCGGCGACCGGCGCACGGGUGAGUAACACGUAUCCAACCUUCCGGUUACUCGGGGAUAGCCUUUCGAAAGAAAGAUUAAUACCCGAUAGUAUAAAUUUUCCGCAUGGUUUGUUUAUUAAAGAUUCAUCGGUAACCGAUGGGGAUGCGUUCCAUUAGAUAGUAGGCGGGGUAACGGCCCACCUAGUCGACGAUGGAUAGGGGUUCUGAGAGGAAGGUCCCCCACAUUGGAACUGAGACACGGUCCAAACUCCUACGGGAGGCAGCAGUGAGGAAUAUUGGUCAAUGGGCGAGAGCCUGAACCAGCCAAGUAGCGUGAAGGAUGACUGCCCUAUGGGUUGUAAACUUCUUUUAUACGGGAAUAAAGUCACUUACGUGUAAGUGUUUGUAUGUACCUUAUGAAUAAGCAUCGGCUAACUCCGUGCCAGCAGCCGCGGUAAUACGGAGGAUGCGAGCGUUAUCCGGAUUUAUUGGGUUUAAAGGGAGCGUAGACGGGUCCUUAAGUCAGUUGUGAAAGUUUGCGGCUCAACCGUAAAAUUGCAGUUGAUACUGGGGACCUUGAGUGCGGCAGAGGCAGGCGGAAUUCGUGGUGUAGCGGUGAAAUGCUUAGAUAUCACGAAGAACUCCGAUUGCGAAGGCAGCUUGCUGGACUGUAACUGACGCUGAUGCUCGAAAGUGUGGGUAUCAAACAGGAUUAGAUACCCUGGUAGUCCACACAGUAAACGAUGAAUACUCGCUGUUUGCGAUAUACAGUAAGCGGCCAAGCGAAAGCGUUAAGUAUUCCACCUGGGGAGUACGCCGGCAACGGUGAAACUCAAAGGAAUUGACGGGGGCCCGCACAAGCGGAGGAACAUGUGGUUUAA
rnacentral:rRNA from 1 species